rnacentral:rRNA from 1 species
ACUAACAGGAUUCCCCUAGUAACUGCGAGUGAAGCGGGAAAAGCUCAAAUUUAAAAUCUGGCAGUCUCUGGCUGUCCGAGUUGUAAUCUAGAGAAGUAAUGCCCGUGCUGGACCGUGUAUAAGUCUCCUGGGAUGGGGCGUCAUAGAGGGUGAGAAUCCCGUCUUUGACACGGACUACCAGUGCAUUGUGGUAUGCUCUCAAAGAGUCGAGUUGUUUGGGAAUGCAGCUCAAAAUGGGUGGUAAAUUCCAUCUAAAGCUAAAUAUUGGCGAGAGACCGAUAGCGAACAAGUACCGUGAGGGAAAGAUGAAAAGAACUUUGGAAAGAGAGUUAAACAGUACGUGAAAUUGCUGAAAGGGAAACGCUUGAAGUCAGUCGCGUUGGCCGGGAAUCAGCCUUGCUUUUGCUUGGUGUACUUUCUGGUUGACGGGUCAGCAUCAAUUUUGACCGCUGGAAAAAGGCCUGGGGAAUGUGGCAGCUUCGGCUGUGUUAUAGCCCCUAGUCGCAUACAGUGGCUGGGAUUGAGGAACUCAGCACGCCGCAAGGCCGGGUUUCGACCACGUUCGUGCUUAGGAUGCUGGCAUAAUGGCUUUAAGCGACCCGUCUUGAAACACGGACCAAGGAGUCUAACAUGCCUGCGAGUAUUUGGGCGGAAAACCCAAGUGCGUAAUGAAAGUGAAAGUUGAGAUCCCUGUCGUGGGGAGCAUCGACGCCCGGACCAGAACUUUUGGGACGGAUCCGCGGUGGAGCAUGUAUGUUGGGACCCGAAAGAUGGUGAACUAUGCCUGAAUAGGGUGAAGCCAGAGGAAACUCUGGUGGAGGCUCGUAGCGAUUCUGACGUGCAAAUCGAUCGUCAAAUUUGGGUAUAGG